GAUCCUGGCUCAGGAUGAACGCUAGCGGCAGGCUAACACAUGCAAGUCGAGGGGCAACGCGAGUAGCAAUACUUGGCGGCGACCGGCGCAAGGGUGCGUAACGCGUGAGCAACAUGCCCGUAUCAGGGGGAUAAUCCAGGGAAACUUGGUCUAAUACCCCAUAGUAAUUUUUGUAAGGCAUCUUAUAAGAUUUAAAGCUUUGGUGGAUACGGAUUGGCUCGCGUGACAUUAGCUGGAUGGUAAGGUAACGGCUUACCAUGGCUAUGAUGUCUAGGGGUUCUGAGAGGAAGGUCCCCCACACUGGAACUGAGACACGGUCCAGACUCCUACGGGAGGCAGCAGUGAGGAAUAUUGGACAAUGGAUGGAAAUCUGAUCCAGCCAUGCCGCGUGAAAAGGAAGAAGGUCCUAUGGAUUGUAAACUUCUUUUGUAUGGGAGCAAUAAGGCCUACGAGUAGGUUGAUGAGAGUACCAUACGAAUAAGCACCGGCUAACUCCGUGCCAGCCGCCGC
rnacentral:rRNA from 1 species